rnacentral:tRNA from 1 species
CCGGUCCAGGCCGGCGCGAUCCAACCGGCCAUCGACGCCGGGCUGGUCCAGAUCCAGGACCGGCGGCUGCGGUUCCGGCACCCGCUGGUCCGGUCC